UAAACACUCAAAUGUAUAUUACCCGAAAUUAAAAGAUCUAAGUGUACUAUAAGCUAUUAGGCUAUAUUGUUGUGUUCUGUAGCAUUAGUUACUAAAAUUAUACCUUAGGGGUGAAAGGCCUACAAUUUUAAUAAUAGCUGGAUGAAUGUUAAAUAUAUUAAGUUUAAAAUAAACUUACGAAGUGAUAAGAUUUUGUAGGGUAUAAAUUUUUGUGUAUUAUAUUAGAACCAAUAGUUAAUAAUUAUAGGUAAACUCAAAUAGUUUAAAUACUUCUACAUUUUAACAAUUAUUUAGCAACAUUUUAUUUUAUUUAUUAAUCCUUCAAUAAGAUAUAUAAUGUACAAAUAAGUAUAUAUAAAAUAAAUUUAAAUUAAGGAACUCGGCAACUAAAAUGUACGACUGUUUAACAAAAACAUAGCCGGCAGCUAUUAAAUUACCGGUGAUACCUGCCCAGUGAUAGUUUAACGGCCGCAGUACUAUGACUGUGCAAAGGUAGCAUAAUCAUUUGGCUUUUAAUUGAAGUCUGGUAUGAAUGGAUGAACGUAUAUAAGCUGUCUCAAUAAUAAAUUUAUUUAAGUUAUUUAUAAGGUGAAAAUACCUUACAUAGGAAAAAAAGACGAGAAGACCCUUAGAAUUUUAAGAAAAGCCUCAAACUUGUGUGGUGUGAUUUUUGUUGGGGCAACAUUUUUUCAUAUAAACAAAAACUUAAAAGUAGAUAUAACGAAUAAGCUUAAUAAAAUAAAAAUUACCUAAGGGAUAACAGCAUAAUUUUAAACAAAGAUUGUGACCUCGAUGUUGGACUAGGAAUUAUUAAGGCUAGUCGUUUUAAUAUACUAGGUUCUGUUCGAACUUUAUUUCCUA
rnacentral:rRNA from 1 species